CGACUGGUCUAAAGUUUCCUGGACUUGUUUUGCUCAUUCUGAAGCGCGCGAUGAUUGGCUGACCGGCACCAGAGGUUUGUGCUCUUUGGCGCCUACCGGAUCUGUGUGGAUGGAGCUACUCGGGUUGCCUCUGCUGUCAUUAGGAUCUAAGGCACCCUGCUGAGGCCGCGUUAUUGUAGUAAAGGGACAGGCUGGUACGGACGAGUCUGAGCCUUACUUAUCCCAGCAUGUUGCUAACCUAUGGAGGCCAAGAUGGCUAAGGGCCACCAAGCUAGGAUUUCCGGGGACCCAGGGUAUCUGUAGCCCCAGUUUGCUGGAAGACACAUGAAUUGCUGGCCGCAAUUGAGGGCAUUUGAGCCUUGCAGUGAAUCCUGUAAGCUUCCUCUCUGCUAGGAAAGCCAACUCCUGCUUUUGUUUGAAACUUGGUAUGAAAGCCAUAUUGGAUGUGGAACUGGAAGAAUCACAAUAUGUUUAAGUGUAUCCUCAAGAGAUGACACUACUCAGCCCUGUAGUGGUCCCUGACAAUCCUGUGGCCAGUGACUUCUUGAAGGCACAGAGCUAGGAACAGAGGAUGUGCUUCAAGUCUGGCCACAGCUCUCUCUUGUGCUGCCGAUGCUCUGUGGGAUGACAUCUGGCUCAGGAUCAGAUCAGCCCGGUCCACUGUCCAUACUGGAAGGAACAUUGACAUCCAAGGAUGCCUGUGCAGUUGCAUUGGGAGCCAAUGGUCUCAGCACCUAGUCAUAGCCAGUAUCUUCCCUUCAUGAAGGUAUUUGCAACUUUGCUGCUCAUUCCUGGCAGCCUGGAAGUCCUUGUUGCUGCUCAACCCUGUUGGCUUUCUUUCCCCCCCUAGGGGAGCUUAGUGUCAUAUGUAAACAUAGACAGGUCCCUGGGGUCUCUCUGGAUAAGCACUGGAAAGAAGCUCAAUCCCCCAGGCUAGCUGCAGUACCAGCUGGGACCAAGGCCUGUCUGUGUGCACAGCAGGAUGGGGUCUGGGACUGUGGUUCCAGAGACCUGACUUCAGGAGUGGAAACCUGCAUGCUGACUCCUGCCUGCAGGCACUGACAGACACACAUGGUCCACUUUGUGCAUAUCACCUUGAUUGUUUUUCAUGUCCAUCAUAGAAAAGAGUGAUUAAAAAUGAAAGAAAGGAGAAA
rnacentral:lncRNA from 1 species